CGCAGCCCCCAGCGGGGCAGCUCCCGCCGCCGCCCGGGACCGGCGCUGCCGCGGCCAGAUAUUGUUAAAAGUUGUGGUCUGCUCCCAAACUGCCCCCGACCUCCUCAGCACCGCAACGGCUGAGCGCAGCGACUCGUACAGAAAAGUUUAAAGGAAAUCAGGACACGGCAUUCACUGCCUGUUUUCCCCCUGAAUUAAAAAGAAAUAAACAUAUAACUGAAUUUAA